AGGGAUGUAAGUGUAGCGGCAGCACACAGAGCUUUGACCUCUGACUGGAGCAGUUCAAAUCUGCCCAUCCCUG
rnacentral:tRNA from 1 species